CAGGCUUAACACAUGCAAGUCGAGGGGCAGCAUGGUCUUAGCUUGCUAAGGCCGAUGGCGACCGGCGCACGGGUGAGUAACACGUAUCCAACCUGCCGUCUACUCUUGGACAGCCUUCUGAAGGGAAGAUUAAUACAAGAUGGCAUCAUGAGUCCGCAUGUUCACAUGAUUAAAGGUAUUCCGGUAGACGAUGGGGAUGCGUUCCAUUAGAUAGUAGGCGGGGUAACGGCCCACCUAGUCUUCGAUGGAUAGGGGUUCUGAGAGGAAGGUCCCCCACAUUGGAACUGAGACACGGUCCAAACUCCUACGGGAGGCAGCAGUGAGGAAUAUUGGUCAAUGGGCGAGAGCCUGAACCAGCCAAGUAGCGUGAAGGAUGACUGCCCUAUGGGUUGUAAACUUCUUUUAUAAAGGAAUAAAGUCGGGUAUGGAUACCCGUUUGCAUGUACUUUAUGAAUAAGGAUCGGCUAACUCCGUGCCAGCAGCCGCGGUAAUACGGAGGAUCCGAGCGUUAUCCGGAUUUAUUGGGUUUAAAGGGAGCGUAGAUGGAUGUUUAAGUCAGUUGUGAAAGUUUGCGGCUCAACCGUAAAAUUGCAGUUGAUACUGGAUAUCUUGAGUGCAGUUGAGGCAGGCGGAAUUCGUGGUGUAGCGGUGAAAUGCUUAGAUAUCACGAAGAACUCCGAUUGCGAAGGCAGCCUGCUAAGCUGCAACUGACAUUGAGGCUCGAAAGUGUGGGUAUCAAACAGGAUUAGAUACCCUGGUAGUCCACACGGUAAACGAUGAAUACUCGCUGUUUGCGAUAUACGGCAAGCGGCCAAGCGAAAGCGUUAAGUAUUCCACCUGGGGAGUACGCCGGCAACGGUGAAACUCAAAGGAAUUGACGGGGGCCCGCACAAGCGGAGGAACAUGUGGUUUAAUUCGAUGAUACGCGAGGAACCUUACCCGGGCUUAAAUUGCAGAUGAAUUACGGUGAAAGCCGUAAGCCGCAAGGCAUCUGUGAAGGUGCUGCAUGGUUGUCGUCAGCUCGUGCCGUGAGGUGUCGGCUUAAGUGCCAUAACGAGCGCAACCCUUGUUGUCAGUUACUAACAGGUUCCGCUGAGGACUCUGACAAGACUGCCAUCGUAAGAUGUGAGGAAGGUGGGGAUGACGUCAAAUCAGCACGGCCCUUACGUCCGGGGCUACACACGUGUUACAAUGGGGGGUACAGAGGGCCGCUACCACGCGAGUGGAUGCCAAUCCCCAAAACCUCUCUCAGUUCGGACUGGAGUCUGCAACCCGACUCCACGAAGCUGGAUUCGCUAGUAAUCGCGCAUCAGCCACGGCGCGGUGAAUACGUUCCCGGGCCUUGUACACACCGCCCGUCAAGCCAUGGGAGCCGGGGGUACCUGAAGUGCGUAACCGCGAGGAGCGCCCUAGGGUAAAACUGGUGACUGGGGCUAAGUC
rnacentral:rRNA from 1 species